GUUGUGAUGCUUUGAAUUUUGUGUUUGUUUUUAUGUUAUUUUUUGUAAAAUGUUUUAACUUUUUUUUUAUUUUUUGAAGUAUCAAAAAUUUGUUUUUUGAACUGGAUUAGUACCCAGGUAAUCAAAAUUUAUUAAUUCGGGAGUAAAGUUGUGUUUAAACCGAAAAAAUAUUGACUGACCUUAGAUUUUUCUUUGGAACAUGUGUUUUGCUGGAGAGCCCUCCUUUUUGGUAAAUUUUGUUGGCACAUGUAUGAUUGUUUAGUUUUUAUUUUAUUUUGUAAUGCUUAUAUUGUUUUGGCAUUUAAAACAGAUAUAUAUUUGGCUUAUGGAUUUAUUUUUCAUGUGUUACUAUUAUAAAUUUUUUUUGGAUUAAUUUUUUAUUUUUUUUUGAAAUUGGAAAAGAAAGUAAUUUUUUUU
rnacentral:rRNA from 1 species